GGGGUGCCCCGCGAGGGGAGCCCUAGCACAGGUGCUGCAUGGCCGUCGUCAGCUCGUGCCGUGAGGUGUUGGGUUAAGUCCCGCAACGAGCGCAACCCCCGCCGUUAGUUGCCAGCGGUUCGGCCGGGCACUCUAACGGGACUGCCCGCGAAAGCGGGAGGAAGGAGGGGACGACGUCUGGUCAGCAUGGCCCUUACGGCCUGGGCGACACACGUGCUACAAUGCCCACUACAAAGCGAUGCCACCCGGCAACGGGGAGCUAAUCGCAAAAAGGUGGGCCCAGUUCGGAUUGGGGUCUGCAACCCGACCCCAUGAAGCCGGAAUCGCUAGUAAUCGCGGAUCAGCCAUGCCGCGGUGAAUACGUUCCCGGGCCUU
rnacentral:rRNA from 1 species